rnacentral:rRNA from 1 species
CCUUACCUGGUCUUGACAUCCUGCGAACUUUCUAGAGAUAGAUUGGUGCCUUCGGGAACGCAGUGACAGGUGCUGCAUGGCUGUCGUCAGCUCGUGUCGUGAGAUGUUGGGUUAAGUCCCGUAACGAGCGCAACCCUUGUCCUUAUUUGCCAUCAUUUAGUUGGGCACUCUAAGGAGACUGCCGGUGACAAACCGGAGGAAGGUGUGGAUGACGUCAAGUCCUCAUGGCCCUUACGGGUUGGGCUACACACGUGCUACAAUGGCAGUGACAAUGGGUUAAUCCCCAAAAACUGUCUCAGUUCGGAUUGGGGUCUGCAACUCGACCCCAUGAAGUCGGAAUCGCUAGUAAUCGCGUAACAGAAUGCCGCGGUGAAUACGUUCCC